AGCCCUGUGGUGUUACAAUACAUGCCAAAUUGCAAAUUUGGAGAAGCAGUUUCACCCCUGCCAGGGCUU
rnacentral:tRNA from 1 species